CUUUCUCCGCCGGCGACCGGCGCACGGGUGAGUAACACGUAUGCAACCUCGCCCCUGUCAGGGGGACAACCCGCCGAAAGGCGGGCUAAACCCGCGUACAUGCCACCGGGGCAUCCCGGAGGCAGGAAAGGCUUCGGCCGGACAGGGAUGGGCAUGCGGCGCAUUAGGCAGUAGGCGGGGUAACGGCCCACCAAGACGACGAUGCGUAGGGGUUCUGAGAGGAAGGUCCCCCACACUGGUACUGAGACACGGACCAGACUCCUACGGGAGGCAGCAG
rnacentral:rRNA from 1 species